rnacentral:tRNA from 1 species
GCGCCUGUGGUGAAAUGGCAGACACGCGGGAUUUAGGUUCCCGUGCGGAAACGUGUGUGGGUUCGAAUCCCACCAGGCGCACCA